UACGUAGGGAGCAAGCGUUGUUCGGAUUUACUGGGCGUAAAGGGCGCGUAGGCGGCGCGGUAAGUCACUUGUGAAAUCUCUGAGCUUAACUCAGAACGGCCAAGUGAUACUGCAGUGCUAGAGUGCAGAAAGGGCAAUCGGAAUUCUUGGUGUAGCGGUGAAAUGCGUAAAUAUCAAGAGGAACACCUGAGGCGAAGGCGGGUUGCUAGGCUGACACUGACGCUGAGUGCGCGAAAGCCAGGGGAGCAAACGGG
rnacentral:rRNA from 1 species